rnacentral:tRNA from 1 species
ACCAGGCUGGCUCAGUCAGUAAAGCAUGUGACUCUUGAUCUUGGGGUGAUGAGUUGAAGUCUCAUGUUGGGUA